rnacentral:rRNA from 1 species
AUUGAACGCUGGCGGCAGGCCUAACACAUGCAAGUCGAACGAGUGGCGGACGGGUGAGUAAUGUCUGGGAAACUGCCCGAUGGAGGGGGAUAACUACUGGAAACGGUAGCUAAUACCGCAUACCAUCGGAUGUGCCCAUAUGGGCUUAGCUAGUAGGUGGGGUAAAGGCUCACCUAGGCGACGAUCCCUAGCUGGUCUGAGAGGAUGACCAGACACACUGGAACUGAGACACGGUCCAGACUCCUACGGGAGGCAGCAGUGGGGAAUAUUGCACAAUGGGCGCAAGCCUGAUGCAGCCAUGCCGCGUGUAUGAAGAAGGCCUUCGGGUUGUAAAGUACUUUCAGCGGGGAGGCGUUACCCGCAGAAGAAGCACCGGCUAACUCCGUGCCAGCAGCCGCGGUAAUUC